rnacentral:tRNA from 1 species
GGGGAUGUGGCUCUGUGGGAGAGAGCUUGACUUGCAUGCUCAAGUUCUGGGUUCAAUCCCCAGCACUUCCA